GAUGAAGAACGUAGCGAAAUGCGAUAAUUAAUGUGAAUUGCAGAAUUCCGUGAAUCAUCGAGUCUUUGAACGCACAUUGCGCCCUCUGGUAUUCCGGAGGGCAUGCCUGUCCGAGCGUCAUUGCUGCCCUCAAGCACGGCUUGUGUGUUGGGCCCCGCCCCCCGAUCCCGGGGGGCGGGCCCGAAAGGCAGCGGCGGCACCGCGUCCGGUCCUCGAGCGUAUGGGGCUUUGUCACCCGCUCUGUAGGCCCGGCCGGCGCUUGCCGAUCAACCAAACUUUUUUCCAGGUUGACCUCGGAUCAGGUAGGGAUACCCGCUGAACUUAAGCAUAUCAAUAAGCGGAGGA
rnacentral:misc_RNA from 1 species